GGCUCGGCAGGUGACUCAUAGGUCUCCAAGGAUACCGUCAUCUUUAAAUCAGUUUUUUUAACCGCGCACUUUAACAAUUCAAAGCGUAUGUGUCUGUUUAAGUGAAAACAAGAAUUUUAAUCCUUUCAAUGAAUUGGCGGGCUUGAGCAGAGCAGAUAUGUCCGGAUCUGUAAGUGAACGCAAGAAUGUUAACCAGUGAAAUGAAUUGCCGGGAUGGAAAAACCCUCUUCACUCUUGAGACUAUUGAUGUGACAUUUCUGUAUAUGGAAGGGACUGAUUUAUAUGUGUGGGAAACAUGGAUUCUAAGAACAGAUAAACAACAGAAAAAGUGAUAAGUGAUGCAAAUAUGACCUUUCAAAACUCUACAGUUAGAACUUGAAGACUCUUAUAUCAAAGUGAUAUUUAGUAGUGGACAUAAUGAUGUGGAGUGUACUUGAGAAACAUUGAACUUUCUACCUCUUCCCUUUUUCAGUUACAUUCCAUGGAAUACUUUAAUGAAAGUGAAAGUGGCAAAGAAUAUAUUGUGAUACAUUUUAGGAGGAAAAAAGUAUUUGACCAAACAUGGUGAAAUUAAUUGUGUCGUAUAAUCUGGGAAAUAAAAAUUACAGAAUUUAAUUAAUUUUGUAAGACAUUUGUAUUGAGGAAUAAUUGUGUCAUUGAAAUUUCAAGAAACAGCUUUGUAUCAACGUUGAACCAACGUAAUAACUAUAUUUUGAACUGAGGUCCAAUGUAGGGCCAACGUUACAAAAUAUUUGGUUAGCAU